CCUACGGGUGGCAGCAGUGAGGAAUAUUGGUCAAUGGACGAGAGUCUGAACCAGCAAAGUAGCGUGAAGGAUGACUGCCCUAUGGGUUGUAAACUUCGUUUAUAAAGGAAUAAAACGAGGCAAGUGUGCCUUUUUGCAUGUACUUUAUGAAUAAGGAUAGGCUAGCUCCGUGCCAGCAGCCGAGGUAAUACGGAGGAUCCGAGGGUUAUCCGGCUUUAUUGGGGUUCAAUGGAGCGUAGAUGGUUUGUUAAGUCAGUUGUGCAAGUUUGCGGCUCAACCGUAAAAUUGCAAUUGAUACUGGCAGUCUUGAGUACAGUUUAGGUAGGCGGCAUUCGUGGUGUAGCGG
rnacentral:rRNA from 1 species